GCGGAGGGAUCAUUACAGAGUUACAAACUCCAAACCUUUGUGAACAUACCUACGUUGCUUCGGCGGCCUCGCCCCGGGCGUCGCGGUGCCCUAACGGGAGCCGCGGCGGCCGGACCCAGGCGACCGCCGGGGGACCCAAACUCUUGUUUUUUUCAGUGUAUUCUGAGUGGCAUAAGCAAAUAAUCAAAACUUUCAGCAACGGAUCUCUUGGUUCUGGCAUCGAUGAAGAACGCAGCGAAAUGCGAUAAGUAAUGUGAAUUGCAGAAUUCAGUGAAUCAUCGAAUCUUUGAACGCACAUUGCGCCCGCCAGUACUCUGGCGGGCAUGCCUGUCCGAGCGUCAUUUCAACCCUCAGCACCCGCCUUCGCGGCGGGAGCUGGCGUUGGGGAUCGGCCGCCCUCAGCGGCGGCCGGCCCCGAAACGAAGUGGCGGCCGCGUCGCGACCUCCUCUGCGCAGUAGCGAUACCUCGCAGCCUGGAUAGCGGUGCGGCCACGCCGUAAAACCCCAACUUACCAAGGUUGACCU
rnacentral:misc_RNA from 1 species